UCCCUGGUAGCUCAGCAAUAAAGAAUCUGCCUGGAAUGCAGGAGACCCAGGUUCGAUUCCUGGGUUGGGAA
rnacentral:tRNA from 1 species